GGCACCAUGGUGUAGUGGUUAUCACAUCUGUCUAACACGAAGAAGGUCCCUAGUUCGAGCCUUUGUGGUUUCG
rnacentral:tRNA from 1 species